GAUGAAGAACGUAGUGAAAUGCGAUACGUAAUGUGAAUUGCAAAUUCAUUGAAUCAUCGAGUCUUUGAACGCACAUUGCGCCCCCUGGUAUUCCGGGGGGCAUGCCUGUCCGAGCGUCAUUGCUGCCCUCAAGCACGGCUUGUGUGUUGGGCCCCGUCCUCCGAUCCCGGGGGACGGGCCCGAAAGGCAGCGGCGGCACCGCGUCCGGUCCUCGAGCGUAUGGGGCUUUGUCACCCGCUCUGUAGGCCCGGCCGGCGCUUGCCGAUCAACCCAAAUUUUUAUCCAGGUUGACCUCGGAUCAGGUAGGGAUACCCGCUGAACUUAAGCAUAUCAAUAAGCGGAGGA
rnacentral:misc_RNA from 1 species